UUUUUCGUUUUCAUUGUGUUUUUUUUUUUUUUUUUUAAUAUUUAUUUUAUUCCAUUUUAUCUUAUUUUAUCUUAUCUUAAAUUCAUUAUGUGUGGUAUGUUUUAUAGUGUGUGAUAUGAAAAUUUAGUGUCUCAGUCUUGAUAUGUUAAUCUCCAAGCAUUUGCAUUAAAAAAAAAAUAGCCUCUAAAUCAGUCAAGAAACAAGCGACGGUCUUCAUGAGUUUGAGUCACUAAAUCAUUCACAAUAAUUAUUAAUUCAAAAUACACUGAUUCAAUUUGCUGAUUAAAAACGGUCAACGGUUGGCUAGCUUUUCUUCGCUUGAAUUAUUUUCGUUGGUGCAGCUAAAAUGGGCAAAGUACCGCCGAUAUUGUGUCUAAAAUUCUUCCCAGAAAUGAUCAACCAUUUGUCUAAAAGCUGGACUGACAACAUAACCGUUGCCAUAAGCCAAGAAAAUCUACAACAAAUUUAUCUCUGCAGUACACUGACUGGACAUUUGGCAUGAUGAGGAAUGAGAUCUGUCUACAGUAGGAGCAGAAGGGACGUUUGGACCUACUGCCAGCAGGCUGUAACAGACAGAUGGGUUUUCACACAAACAACAGAAAACAUCAAGAGCAGUCAGACUGGCACACACAGAAGAAGAAUCAGCAAAGGGGAGAAAGUCUGGAUAAUGAGGCACUGCUAGCAGGAGAUGAUAAUUCACUUUGUGCUGUGAGAAGACGAACUGUCCACUCCGUUUAGAGUUCAACUCCGUAGUUGCAAAGCCAUAUGGAUAUUUGGAACACAAACUGUGAUCUGACUGCAGUGAAACAUAAUAACCAGCAGAUGGUGGGCAAACAUCAGAAUCCUGUUGAUAUCAAGGCAUCAGAACUGCAUAUAAAUGAAGUUUUGCAAGCAAAUGACAAUACCAAGUAAGUACCGACUUCCAAAUAUGCAGCAAAAAUGUCAUUAUCAGUCCCUAACUAAAAAGAUGUGGUGAUACCAUGGUACAGUGUUAGCAUCAGAUGCUGUGGUAAUGUCUUACGCCAUGGUAUUUAUAUGGCACAUGCACAGAAAAUGAUGCCAUUAACAAAAAACAACAGAAAGAAUAUAUAUGCUGUAGUUUCCAUUCUCCACUAUAUGAUGACCUCUGCUUCUGACCCCCAAAAAUGUGAACGGCACAAAAAAAGAUGCUUUUUGGCAACAGACUGGUGUAGCUACAGUAUCUCACCACCAGGGACCAGGUCCAGCCAAACCCCUAACCCUUUGAUGGAGCACUUUACUAAUGAGUUGUUUCAAGUAACACUUCUAAAAUGUGAUGUGUUGAGAGGCCUCUGGGAGCAGGAUUGAGAAACACUGAGCAGUAUCAUGUGACAAUAUCCACAUGUACAAGUGAGGGAGAGUCAGAGGAGGAUUAGAUGCUUUUAUCUCUUAAAGGGUAAUCAGUAACUACUGUAGCUUACCAAAUGCAUCUAUGGCCAGAGCAUAUGCACACAUACAUUUGCAUAUAUUAUUGACACCACAUGGAUUUCAUCAUAUCAAGGCACUCAACAAACAGUGGAAUUCUAAUUUGACAUUGUUCUCGUUUCUUGUAUUAGGAUCAGUGAUAGCAAAUAAAACCUCAGCGUCAUGUGCCAGUAAAGGGUAAAGCUCAGUAGGACAGCAUGUUAUCAGGGCUCUUCACUAAGAGUUGAGUGGUUUAGAGUUGCAUGUUCAAUAUUGCAGAUGAUGGUGUUUAAUAAUUGAUUCUUAUGAAAUCUAAUGGCAGCAUCACCACAAUAAGACUUCAGUUACACUGACCUCUUUAUUCAGAGUGAUACUCACUGCUAAACCUGGGCCAAUGUUAUAUUCCUUCAUAAGGAAAGUAUGUGCAUACAAGUCUCUAUAUGUUAUAUAGUAAAAUGUAUGUGACGUAAUGAAAUAAUUACUUUGUAGGUUUUACAAUAACAUUACAAUUUAAAUAUAAUUAAGUCUAAUUCAAUUCAAAUCUACUAUAUGGAAUCACUCACAAAAAAAUCAUUUCUAGUACCCACAAAAACUGGUUUUACUUGUAAGUUUA